rnacentral:rRNA from 1 species
GACGAACGCUGGCGGCAUGCCUAACACAUGCAAGUCGAACGAGAUCUUCGGGUCUAGUGGCGCACGGGUGCGUAACGCGUGGGAAUCUGCCCUUUGGUUCGGAAUAACAGUUGGAAACGACUGCUAAUACCGGAUGAUGACGAAAGUCCAAAGAUUUAUCGCCAGAGGAUGAGCCCGCGUAGGAUUAGCUAGUUGGUGUGGUAAAGGCGCACCAAGGCGACGAUCCUUAGCUGGUCUGAGAGGAUGAUCAGCCACACUGGGACUGAGACACGGCCCAGACUCCUACGGGAGGCAGCAGUGGGGAAUAUUGGACAAUGGGCGAAAGCCUGAUCCAGCAAUGCCGCGUGAGUGAGGAAGGCCUUAGGGUUGUAAAGCUCUUUUACCCGGGAUGAUAAUGACAGUACCGGGAGAAUAAGCUCCGGCUAACUCCGUGCCAGCAGCCGCCGUAA